CCUAUAGAACGAGAAUGCCGUGUCGUCCAGCGGAGCUUAGAAGAAGGUGACUCGGAGCCUAAGGAAGGUGACUCGCGCAGACAGCUGACUCCUUUUCAAUAGAAAGGAAUAGCCAAACCUACCCAGCUGGCUGGUCAAUCUCAGUGAUCUUAUCGGCCGGCAAAGCGGAGACGGACGACCACGGUCCCGACCUUACCAGCACCGUAGGUUUACUAAUCAAUGAAGCCCCUCAACUUACUAUCUUUUCUUACAAACUCAACCAAGCCUAACCAAACCCCAUGCUAACGACAUGUUCUUGAUAUUGAUUGAGUUGGAGGCAGUCAGAGACUACCACGGAAUCCUUCCAUAGUCACCCCGGUGACCUUCGUCACCAAAGCGUCACGAUAGUUUCAAAGACCCCUCAUCUCCAGUGGGGAUCAGUCGGAGCACGUAGGAAUGCCGACCACUACAUAAGCCACGUCUGGCUGAGGCGAGCAACAAGCGGGGGGGAGUCUUUUGAAGUACAAGAACGUUGGGGUGGGACGCUAGUACUUAAACUAGGGUUGCUUCUUAGCGCUAAUCUUGCGUUUUCAGCAGUUAGUUGUAGCGCGCCUUCCCUCCUUCUCUCAUUUCGGAAAGAUUUGGCAGUAUUUUCUUAUGAUGACUGUAAUACCCACUUUGUACCAAAAACAUGGUAUUCCUUUAUAUAUGGGUGUUAUCUAUAUUUAACAUUUCAUGAGAACAUCACAUGAAAACAAAUAAAUAAAUAACGAAAGACACCAAAAUAAAUCUAGCAUCAUGCCGAGUUUUACUUGAUUGUGCAUUUGUGGUUAAUAAAAUAAACGUGUCAUUAAUAGCAUAACAAUGAACCCAUAGAAUUUAAACCCUAACUUGAAAAUAAAACCAUGAAAAUGGAGAAGGAGAGAAAGAAAUAUCAUAUAACACAAAAUAAAUUUUAAACAUAUAACUUUAUCACAUUUUGGUAUAACCAAGUGGAACAAUUAGACUAAGUACAAACGUGCUGCAAAGUUGGAUUUAAAUUGAGGUUUUGAAUUUAGAAUUCAAAAUAAAUAGAGAACAAAAUAGAAAAUAAAAAAAAAGAAAACAGAGAGCCGCCACUUGGGCCAGGAAAGCAUUUUGAGCCCACUGUCCAUUUCCUUGCGCGCGGCCCGGGAUGGAAAACCAGCGCCGACACCCCUACCCCACGCGGCAGCCACCCCAUCGCGUGCCUCUUCUGUUAGCCACUGAACAGCGGGGCCCCCGGUCAGCUCCUUCUCCUUCCUACCCGCACGCGCAGACGAAACAGAACCCGCCGUUCUCCCCGCUGGUUGUUCGCAACAGACGAUGUGCAUAGCUCACGUGCCUUCGACUGAUCCUUCUUCCCCUGCUUUCUCGGCAACAAAUUAGGUGCCCAGUAACCGUCGUCUUAACUAAAUGAGCGCAAAACCCGGUCAGAUAGGUCCUUGCCGUCGGCACGAUAUUGGCGGGGACUUUGAUCGUGGGCUUCAAAUGGAUGCCGCAUUGCCCUCCGCGUGAGUCGCACUUAGAUUAGCUCCAGUUCACGAAUUCCCAUACGCCACUGGAUUGAGAGAAGAAGAAAGCGUCGGAGGGAAAACGCGAGAGAAAUAGGUGAGGGAGGGAGAGUAGAUCCGUCGUUGGCGCGCGCAGUCGUAGUAGCCCUGGCCUCGUCAUGAUGCUCUAGUGCGGCGGCGCUGUGCUCUGGUGCUCCAACCGCUUUCGAUUCCGUCGAGGGGGGACGCAUGGGUCGGCUUGGUCAUCUCUUAAUUGCUCGUCGGACUUUGGAGAUCACCUUCUCACCACCAUGCGUCGACACCGGGACUUACGCUCCACCUGUGCCGGUAAGGACCGCUUCAUGUGUUUCGUUUCUACCUUCAUAUCAUGUUGCGUCUCGCCGAUGUCCAUUUCGAGCACUAGUGCGCUGGGGCGGAGAUCGCUGGUGAGCUCGCCUGGUGGCGAUGGCGGCGCCGUCGUCUGCGAGCUGGGUAUGGAGGGCGAUGGCUAUGCAGCCUUUCGAUUAGAUACGUGCGGCCCUGAUCACCUCAAACACAUCCCCUUUGCCUCAUCGAAGCUGGGCCAUUGAUUCUUGAUCCGUCCACCGUGAACACUCGCGAUGGUAUGUUAACCGGGGAACGUUAGAUCGGGAUCCAACGGUUGUGAUUGUGUCCGGUUCGGGGUGAUGAAGAUCUAAUCUAGGCCAUCAACGCUGAUCCAACGGCCGUGAUCCCGCGAUACCCCUUCGCGGGCGCAGAUUAACACAAAGGCCCCUGUGUUUUAGAGAAAUGAACCCGCCAUCCUGCGCUGUAUGGCUUAGUGCCUUAGGAAGAAUUACCCUGUGACCCCUGCGUUUCUCUGUUUUAGUGCACGCAGUCCAGAGAGCAGGUGGUUCAGGAGGAGCCACAAGGCGAGGAGUAUGAUCUGAUCUAGGUGGCGUUUCUCAGUCGACAUUUGCGCCGGCGAUCCUUAGUUCGUUUUAUAUUUACUCUUUUAUUUUGUAAUAAGUCUUCCGCUAUGUAAUAAAUACUCUGAUGUUAUUGUGACAUUUAUCUCUAUACACUCUGUUAUUAUAUAUGAUGUCUUCUUUGGCGCAUGUAUGAGACGCACCCGGCUUUGUCCUUUAAAAUCGAGUGUUACAGAAGUGGUAUCAGAGGAAAUGUUGACCGUAGGACGAAACCUAGAUAGAAAUGGACAACCCUUACCUACUUAUCUCAUUCUGAUUCAUUCUAUACUUACCUUACUCUGGAUCUCUCUAUACUUAUCUUGAGCCCGUCUCACCUUCUACUGUUCUACUCUGAUCAUUCUUACCUUUUCUAAUCUGGGACAAGAUGGAUUUCACACCUUGGAAUCCUACAUUUAUGACCUUCUUAGAAUAUAGGAGGCCUAAGACAAAAUCAAAACUAUUUUCUCUAUUUAAAAAUGUUGGUUGAUUGUUCUGAUGAUCAAUGCUUGAUUUGCUUCUUUGAUUGAUUGAAAUAGUAUAGACGGACAUCUUAGCAUGUUCCACCAUAAGGUAAUGAAUUAGCUAUGGUAGGUAAAACAUUAAUCUGCUUAGCUAAUAUAUCCCCCAAAGUAACAUGCCUCGUGAUUACAUGCCUUGUCUACAAUUCUUCCUUUCUUACCCUAUGUUUCUAACCCAGAUGGGCUACCCCUAUAUUGUUAGAAGAGAAACAAUAUAGACGUGAUCCUUGGUAUGUCAUGGUUAAGAAAGGAAAAGGCUAUUUAUACACUGUGCUAAAGGAACCAUAGAACUCACCAGUUCUAAAGGAGAAAGAUUUGAAGUUGGAAUUGCAGUAACUACCGCCACCAGACUAGCGGCAUUCUUAGUAGAUGGGAAGUUUGUUGGUGUCAACAUCCGUGUGGUUAUAGAUUUUCCGGAUGUCCUCCCAGAAGAGUUACCACGGAUGCCACCAUAUACGAAAGUUGAGUUUGUCAUAGAUCUCUUACCUGGAACUGCUCCUAUUUCUAAAUGGACAUGGACAUAUAGGAUGUCUGUAGAAGAGUUAAAAGAACUCAAGAAGCACUUAACGGAGUUGGAAGAGGCUGGGUACAUUCAUCCGAGUCUUCACCUUGGAGAGCACCAGUUUUGUUUGUAAAGAAGAAAGAUGGAUCGCAAGGGAUGUGCGUGGAUUAUAGGUUCCUUAACGAUGUCACUGUGAAGAACAAGUUUCUGUUACCCCGCAUUAAGGAUUUAUUUAAUCGGAUGAGAGGUGCAAGUGUAUUCUCGAAGAUUGAUCUUCGAUCGGGUUACCAUCAAAUGAAGAUUAGGCCAUCGGAUAUUCCCAAGACGGAUUUCUCAACCCGAUAUGGAUUAUACGAGUUUACGGUUAUGUCAUUUGGAUUAACUAAUGUACCAGCCUAUUUUAUGGAUCUGAAGAAUAAGAUGCUCAUGGUUUGGACAGAUUCAUCGUGGUUUUCAUCGAUAAUAUUUUUUUAUUCCAAGAGAGAUAGCGAUCAUGAGGAAUAUCUGAUAUUGGUGCUACAAGAAGCUACGAGAUAAUCAACUCUACGCCAAGUUUAGCAAAUGCGAGUUUUGGAUUGACGAGGUGCCAUUCCUAGGACAUAUCAUUUCUAAUGGCGGAAUAUCAGUGGAUCCUGCUAAAGUCAAGAAGAUAGUGGUGUGGAGCAUACCCACUACAUUUACGAAGAUUCAGAGUUUCUUGGAACUUGCAGGAUAUUAUCGGAGAUUUAUUGAAUGAUUUUCUAAGAUUGCUAAACCUAUGACUUCGCUUUUGGAGAAAGGAAGAGAAUUUAAGUGGGACGAGAAGUGCCAAGACAGCUUUGAGCAAUUGAAAAAGAGGUUGAUGUCGCCGCCAGUAUUGGUUAUGCCAGAUCUACAGAAGGGAUUUGACAUUUAUUGUGAUGCAUGUGGCCAAGGCUUAGGAUGUGUGCUCAUGCAAGAAGGACAUGUGAUCGCCUACGCAUCUCGUCAGUUGCAGAAACAAGAGUUAAACUACCCCACUCAUGACUUGGAACUAGCAGCCGUUGUGCAUGCGCUUAAGAUAUGGAGACAUUACAUUAUGGGAACAAAGUGCCAAGUGUACAUGGAUCAUAAGAGUUGGAAGUAUAUAUUCACUCAGAAGGAUCUCAACCUUAGGCAACGCCGUUGGUUGGAGCUCAUUAAGGAUUAUGAUUUGGAGAUUCACUAUCACCCAGGCAAGGCAAAUUUGGUUGCAGAUGCCUUGAGUCGAAAGGAGCACGUUCAUUCAGCUGUUGUUGCCCAGCUACUCAAUGAGAUUGUUGAGGAUUUUAGGAGACUUAACCUGGGGAUAGUUGCUCACACUGAAGGAGUUAUUAUUGAUAUGGAAUCUACCUUGGAGCAAGAAAUCCGCAAAGGACAAAUUGGUGAUGCAAAGAUACAAGAGAUCAAGGAUCUGAUUACUAAAGGUCGAGGUCCAGAAUUCACAAAAGAUGAGCAAGGCACAGUAUGGUUCAAGGAUCGGAUAUGUGUUCCUGAGGUUGAUAGUUUUUGUGAGACUAUUUUAAAGGAAGCCCAUGACUUGGAUUAUUCUAUUCAUCCUGGUAGUACCAAGAUGUAUCAGGACUUAAAGCAGAAGUGCUGGUGAUAUGGACUGGAGAGAGAUAUGGCUGCACAUGUGGUUAUGUGCGAUGUGUGCCAAAGAGUUAAGACCGAUCACCAAAGACUAGCUGGACUAUUACACCCACCAAAGAUGUCCAAGUGGAAGUGGGAAGAGAUUGGCAGGGACUUCAUUGUUGGAUUACCCCGCACAUCUGCUGGGUAUGAUUCUAUAUGGGUUAUUGUGGAUAGACUGACCAAAGUGGCUCAUUUCAUUCCGGUCAAGACUACUUAUAAGUGAUCUACAUUGGUUGAGUUAUAUAUGGCUCGGAUUAUGUCCCUACACAGUGUACCGAAAAAAGAUCAUUUUGGAUAGAGGAUCACAGUUUACCUCCAGAUUUUGGAAAAGUUUUCAUGAGAAAAUGGGUGUGAAGUUGAAUUUUAGUUUGGCCUACCAUCCUCAGACUGAUGGACAGACUGAAAGGACUAAUCAAGUAUUGGAGGACAUAUUGAGAGCUUGUGCCCUUCAGCAUGGUAGUAGUUGGACAAGAGUCUACCUUAUGCUGAGUUCUUAUAUAAUAAUAGUUACCAGGCCAGUCUGAAGAUGUCACUGUUCGAGACUCUAUAUGGCAGGAAAUGCAGGAUUUCUCUACAUUGGAUCAGACUAGAGGAAGACAGUUCUUUGGACCUGAACUUAUUCAAGAGGCAGAAGAACAAGUCCGUAUAAUUCAGGAAGAAUUUGAGGGUAGCUCAGACCAGGCAAAAGAGCUACGCUGAUGAUAGAAGAAGACCACCGGAGUUUGAGGAAGGUGAUCAUGUGUACCUCAAGGUGUCACCACUUCGUGGAAUGAGGAGAUUUAAGGUUAAGGGCAAAUUGUCCCCUUGCUUUAUUGGACCAUUCUGAGUUUUUAGGCGAGUUGGAAAGAUGGCCUAUCAACUUGAACUACCUGAUAAUCUAUAUGAUGGGCAUAAUGUAUUCCAUGUGUAUUAACUUAAGAAGUGUCCUAGUGUCCCGAGAAAUAAGGUUAUAAAGAUGUGUAAAGUACAAUGGAACCAUCAUGGAGAAGAUGAAGCUACUUGGGAGAGAGAGAAAAGGAGCUUCGCAUAGAUUUUUCCCAUCUUUCCACUAGACUUUCCUAAAUCUCGAGGACGAGAUUCUUUUUAAGGGGGGUAGGAUUUGUAAUACCCACUUUGUACCAAAAACAUGGUAUUCUUUUAUAUAUGGGUGUUAUCUAUAUUUAACAUUUCAUGAGAACAUCACAUGAAAACAAAUAAAUAAAUAACGAAAGACACCAAAAUAAAUCUAGCAUCAUGCCGAGUUUUACUUGAUUGUGCAUUUGUGGUUAAUAAAAUAAACGUGUCAUUAAUAGCAUAACAAUGAACCCAUAGAAUUUAAACCCUAACUUGAAAAUAAAACCAUGAAAAUGGAGAAGGAGAGAAAGAAAUAUCAUAUAACACAAAAUAAAUUUUAAACAUAUAACUUUAUCACAUUUUGGUAUAACCAAGUGGAACAAUUAGACUAAGUACAAACGUGCUGCAAAGUUGGAUUUAAAUUGAGGUUUUGAAUUUAGAAUUCAAAAUAAAUAGAGAACAAAAUAGAAAAUAAAAAAAAAGAAAACAGAGAGCCGCCACUUGGGCCAGGAAAGCAUUUUGAGCCCACUGUCCAUUUCCUUGCGCGCGGCCCGGGAUGGAAAACCAGCGCCGACACCCCUACCCCACGCGGCAGCCACCCCAUCGCGUGCCUCUUCUGUUAGCCACUGAACAGCGGGGCCCCCGGUCAGCUCCUUCUCCUUCCUACCCGCACGCGCAGACGAAACAGAACCCGCCGUUCUCCCCGCUGGUCGUUCGCAACAGACGAUGUGCAUAGCUCACGUGCCUUCGACUGAUCCUUCUUCCCCUGCUUUCUCGGCAACAAAUUAGGUGCCCAGUAACCGUCGUCUUAACUAAAUGAGCGCAAAACCCGGUCAGAUAGGUCCUUGCCGUCGGCACGAUAUUGGCGGGGACUUUGAUCGUGGGCUUCAAAUGGAUGCCGCAUUGCCCUCCGCGUGAGCCGCACUUAGAUUAGCUCCAGUUCACGAAUUCCCAUACGCCACUGGAUUGAGAGAAGAAGAAAGCGUCGGAGGCAAAACGCGAGAGAAAUAGGUGAGGGAGGGAGAGUAGAUCCGUCGUUGGCGCGCGCAGUCGUAGUAGCCCUGCCUCGUCAUGAUGCUCUAGUGCGGCGGCGCUGUGCUCUGGUGCUCCAACCGCUUUCGAUUCCGCCGAGGGGGGACGCAUGGGUCGGCUUGGUCAUCUCUUAAUUGCUCGUCGGACUUUGGAGAUCACCUUCUCGCCGCCAUGCGUCGACACCGGGACUUACGCUCCACCUGUGCCGGUAAGGACCGCUUCAUGUGUUUCGUUUCUACCUUCAUAUCAUGUUGCGUCUCGCCGAUGUCCAUUUCGAGCACUAGUGCGCUGGGGCAGAGAUCACUGGUGAGCUCGCCUGGUGGCGAUGGCGGCGCCGCCGUCUGCGAGCUGGGUAUGGAGGGCGAUGGCUAUGCAGCCUUUCGAUUAGAUACGUGCGGCCCUGAUCACCUCAAACACAUCCCCUUUGCCUCAUCGAAGCUGGGCCAUUGAUUCUUGAUCCCUCCACCGUGAACACUCGUGAUGGUAUGUUAACCGGGGAACGUUAGAUCGGGAUCCAACGGUUGUGAUUGUGUCCGGUUCGGGGUGAUGAAGAUCUAAUCUAGGCCAUCAACGCUGAUCCAACGGCCGUGAUCCCGCGAUACCCCUUCGCGGGCGCAGAUUAACACAAAGGCCCCUGUGUUUUAGAGAAAUGAACCCGCCAUCCUGCGCUGUAUGGCUUAGUGCCUUAGGAAGAAUUACCCUGUGACCCCUGCGUUUCUCUGUUUUAGUGCACGCAGUCCAGAGAGCAGGUGGUUCAGGAGGAGCCACAAGGCGAGGAGUAUGAUCUGAUCUAGGUGGCGUUUCUCAGUCGACAUUUGCGCCGGCGAUCCUUAGUUCGUUUUAUAUUUACUCUUUUAUUUUGUAAUAAGUCUUCCGCUAUGUAAUAAAUACUCUGAUGUUAUUGUGACAUUUAUCUCUAUACACUCUGUUAUUAUAUAUGAUGUCUUCUUUGGCGCAUGUAUGAGACGCACCCGGCUUUGUCCUUUAAAACCGGGUGUUACAAUGACCUGGUCGAGAGAGUACAAAACAUCGGUGUAAAAGAUUGAGUGGGAUGGUUAUGGUUAUAGUAAGGGGCGAACCAAGUGCUUGCGCGAAGAAGCGAAUCAAUUAGAAUGGAGACAAGGAGAGGCGAAACUCAACUAAAAUGGAAAAGGGAACUCGACUAUCAUGAGCGAAGUGAGGGAAUUCCUUCUGAUUGGGUCCCUUAGGGGAGAGACAGAAGGUAUUAUUAAAUAGAAUCAGAUCUUUGACGAUCCAGUAUUAGCUAGUGAGUGUAUGGACUCAGACUUUGGUGACUCCCUAGUGGCCAGGGAAGCGUUAGCUUCACCCUUUGAACGUCUCAUUUACUCUCUCUAGCUCUCGACUUUACGUAUAGGAAUUUAAGGUACAUUGGUCGAUGAAAGUGAACAUCUAUCUUAUCUUACGCCACUUACUCUACCUUUACUUUGUGGAAGACGUCCGAUUGAAUGAUCUCCAGUGGGUUCUAUUACCAUGUGUACCCAGCCUGCUUCCUUCUUUUUUACCAGCCUCUCUGCUUCUGUCAGUAUAGAGGAAAGUCUUCAAUCCAAAUAAAAAAGGAAAAAAAUACCUAGCAUGACACAUCAGCUACACCAUCAGAGCCUGUCCACUUGCUAGUCAGGAAAAAGAACCGCUCCGUUCCGUGGGCUUCUUUCGCAGCUCUCUUCACGCUCGCUUUACGAGUGCAACCAAGUUCAAUAAACUGUGAAUGCUAAUUUAAUUCAUAGACUAUGUUGGUUUCUAUCUAAGAGUCCUGUGAGACGCUUUCCUUCUCAUACACAUCUGAAGGAACGUUUGAUCAUCAGCAUUAGAGAGUUUUGCAGGUCCUUGAGAGAACGUUAUCCAGCCACCAUACCAUGGUCUGAGGUGAAAGAAAUUGGUCCUAGUCCAUAAAACGAAAGGUGCUGGGCAAGCGCAGAGAAGUCGUCUGAAGGGGAGUUCCAUAGGAAUGUUCAACUUCGAUCAACCUUGGUCCCAUGCCUAAAAAAGAAAGAAGGUAAAAAAUAGGGGUGAUAUAAUCCACUGCUCGCCUAAGAAUGUACUGACGUAAUCCCUACUAUGGCUUCCCGAAGGAUCCAGCAGCUAAGAGGGUCCGAGCCAUAACGGAUUGAUGUGACCGUAGCGGUGACUGGAAUCGAUCUGAAUGAGGCAGUUAUGGGACUUAUCUUAUCUAACAUAAAAUAUAUAUAUUAUAUAUGGAGGAAGGAUUCAAAAAAGGUGGGGGUCAAGGUGUAUAAUACGAGCUCCACUUUCAGGCAAUGAGCUAGCUUAACCCUGAUUGCUUAAGGUUUAAUACAGUCAUGUUGGAUCUGCUACUAAUACUAAGAAAGGCAGAGAAAGACUAAUUGCGACAGCUCAACCGGAUGAGACAUCUCUUUCUUAUUUACAGAACUGUGCCAACGUGUGCCUACAUUGUUUGAUUUACCAGUUCCGGGUAUUGGAUUUUGGAAUAGAAAGAAUGAAACUAGUACCAGCUUAUCGCCAACUGUGCUUUCUACCAACUCCGCCAACCCCAGACGGGAAUAUUUCUUUUUUUUAUAGCCGCACCUGAGCCCGCAACUGCUGCCUCUACUCCGCCUACUUCUUGUGCCGACUUCGCCAGCCUCGCAGGGUACCGAUUUCCUCCUGCUUUGUGUGCGUGCCAUUGACUCCUUUAAUGGGUCGAAACCUACUUAGUUCUUUUUUUCGUCUAUACAAGAAAAGAAGGAUUUGUGUUUAGCAAGACAGAGAAUUUAAUAAGUAAAAAAAAGUGUGUACCCUUUACCGAAAAGCAAAUAUGACAGAUAGGGUACGGCAUAUUGCUUUUUCCUGAUUGAUCUAGUUGACGACAGUUGACUUGUUGGACCGAUUGUGGAGUGGAUUGGAAUAGAAGUUUCUUAUAUACAUAUAUUCGUGUUUACUGAUUUCGCAUACUAGGAAUGGAACUUAACUUGAUGUAACCCAUUGGAAACUCUCUUUGAGACUCAUUAUCUGUUAUAUACGACAGGCUAAUUAAGUCCUUAAAUUAUUGAGAAGAAAGGAGUCUUUCCUUACACAAAACUGUUAUGUUAUUAUGCUGCUCGUGCAAUCAAAACUUAGAAUAGAAGAAAAAGAGUUCCCUCGAGACGCAUCCUCUUCUCCUUCGCUUGUGUGACUAUCAUGAGAAGAAUUCCAUUCCAAGAAGUAAAAUAACAAGAAAAAGAACGAGGUCAAGAUCUGUUGUUACCAGUACCGACGAAAUGGAGAAAGUGUCAUCCGGGAACGCAAUCUACUACAUUAGUUGGUGUAGCCAAAGAAGAGGAUAUCCCCUUUUUUUACCUGACCCAUUGGUCUUCAGACCAGACCCAUACCAUAGCUACAAACACUUUUGAGUCGGAGGAGACUGGCCAGAUCGCCUUCUUGAGGCUCUCUGGGCUUAUCGGACGUCAAUCUGUAUAGAGCCACUGGUCAAACACCCUUCUCCUUAGUCAUUGGCAUGGACGCCAUUCUUCCCAGUGAACUCGACGAUUCCUUCCCUGCGCCGUUCUGCUCGACGACGAUAUGACUGAUAAUCAGAAGCGAGAGGCUCUGCUCUCGAAACUUUACCUCCUCGAUUCAGUGGGAGAAAAAAAAGGUUACGAGCGGCAGAGCAUGCACAAGUCUAUAAACGUCAACUCAGCCGCGCUUAUGAAAAAAACUAAUAUAAAUAAAAAAGAUUUCCAACGCACAGCACCCUAAGGGUCAACUUAAGCCCCUUCCUUAAGGAAAGAUCUUUUUUUAUUGUCAUAGCGGUCAACCCCGGGAACGCGUACCGCCUUGCCAAUGAACAUGGGGAUGAACUUCCUGAACCUUGGAAUGACAUGUACUUGAAAAAGUACUACGCCUGACCGGCUUCCCGGUAAGCCCUGAAAAAUGUUUGGCCUAUCUGAUAUUUGUGCGUAAACCAUAAAUCCAAAUCGAUUCUAGACUGUCUUCCAAUCUACAUGCUUGACUGAGUGAGGAUGUGGCAGCUUUUGUUCACAUCAUAUUCCAUUAGAUAGAAAGAGCUACAAAAGGUGUACCAGAUAGAUUCAUAUAGUAGGCUUAGGCUCAAAUAGCGCUUUGACUGAUAUAGGUAAAAAAUUUUCCAAUUUACAUUACAUCCAGGUCUUAUCUACUUAGUUGUGGGCAUUGCCCCCUGAAAUAGAACUUUUCGCGUCCCCCUGCUUUUGCUAUGGGGCUGGCGGGUUCACUCCUUGCCAUGAAUAGGGCUGGCUCCUUCCCUGAGAUAGAUAGAAGCCAAGCCCACUACACGGUGCGAACUCCUAAAGAAGAGACUGAACUUACUUUCUUUCUUGCUUGCUUGUUCCCUAGGAUUAUGAUUCCUGGGGUUGUUGCUUGCUUGGUUUGUUUAUGCUUAGCAGCGGUUCGUUCAAAAUAAAAAAGGUAGAAGCCGCUCAGAAACGAUGUUCUCUUGUCCCCUCGGGACAGCGCUUUCACUCCUUUCCUCUGAGCUAUACCUAGACCUCCCACUCCCACUCUCACAUGUAGGCGGAGAUGGAGACUCGUUCAAACUUAGUCUACUAAAGGAUGGAGGAUGGAACCUUAAGGAAAUGAACCUAAACCUAUAAAAGUGUCGGGACAUUAAAUAGAUAUAAAAUAAAAUAAUCUUUUAGUCCCUCAAAGUCCAAGUUUAAGAGGCCAGUCCCAAAACAUUUCUUGCAGGACCACCUUUCUCCAGGUCUCUUUUUUAUUGACUUUGGCACCCACACGUAUAAUGUGAGGAGAGGAAUCCAAAUUCGAUGCAUAGUUGUCCCUCUCUUCCCUGAAUUCCUCUGGCAGGAUCCCUUACUGGAAGGGGGGUAAAGUAUCUACGCUCUAGUCGUAUGUAUCCUGAGAAGGGAGUGACCUAAAACGGAGGAAUGCUUGUUCGUCUCAUUCGGAUAUGUAUGGCCGGGGUCUGGUAGCUCCCUAUGACUAUUCCUAUUGGGAUGGCAAUCUCAUCUCGAAUCACAUAUCGUGUGUUCGACGUUCCUUUCGUUCGCAUAUCUUUGAAUCGAAUCAGCUUCUGCGGGCGGGGGAUAACCGAAAUAGAAGUGCUGCCGGGGUGAUUGACCAUUAGGAUCUAGUCUUGUUCCUUAGUUUGGUUUUUCCUACCAAGGAUCCAAUCCAGCUAUGCUAUAAAGUUAUGUUAGUGGCAGAUAUGGAUAGAGUAUGGAUAGAGAAAGUAGCAGCUCGCUUUCUUUCGAAGACGGGGUUGAGAAGAAGGUAAGGCAGCUUCUUCGAUCCAAAUCUUAUGAACAGAUUCAUUCAUUUCAAAUUAAGAAUCAUACGCAACCUCAAAGAAAGAUAGCCCUCCUCUUUACGAGCUUAGUAACGGUAAAUCCGUUCCGUUAAUGGAUGGGCACGAGCGAGGGGCGGUGAUUGGAAUAGUGACUCAUUGGCUAUCAGAUAAGUGAAGCCACCCAAAGCUAUUCUAUUAUCAUAAAUAGAGGUAAGAGCUCCUCAGUUUCGUAUAUAGCCCCCUCCAAUCCAUGGUGGAUUGUCUUGCUUUUCAUCAAAUAAGACCUAGCAGCUUACUUAAAGAAAUGAAAUUCUCGCUAGGGUGCUUGCUAUCGGGGCAAAGCUUUUUCUAUUUAUAUAGGCAGCUCCAUUCCUUGAAAGCCAGUCAAUACUAGAGUAGAGCUCAGAAAUCCUUCCUGGGCAGCCUGGUUCCAGCUCCCUUCAUUCCUCUGUGAGAAUAGUUCACGUAUAAUACUUUAGAGCGAGUAACUAGUCUAUCUAUUCGCCUUUCUAUUCUAGUAAUUCUACGUUCCUCAUUCUAUAUACGAUACGUUCCUCAUUCUAAAGCUAAAGUAGUGACUCUAACUAGAAUAUAAAGACUUCACCUUCAACCCAAGCCAAGCUAUGAAAUAGGGAUCAUGGAAAUCGGGCACACCCGAGUAAAUCUAGACUAGAUGAUCUUGCGAGGCGAUGCCAGACCCAGAGUAUAAUGUCUCCGGGACUAGACUGGCUAGAAGGUAGUGCUUAUUAAUAUCGGAGCUGAAGUGCGGAUCAGUCGUGAGAAAAUAAAAUCCUUUGAAUGGAUCAGUGAGUGUAGGAAAGCCGGUUCCGCAGGAUCACUUAUGUUAUGUGAUUUCGUGGGAGAUGCUUCUGAAUCAAAAGAUGCUGUAAAAGCUCAGAAACGAGGCUUCACAAAUUCUUUUUGGCAUGCCCCCUCUACUUCUACCUGUACCGAUUCAUGGAGUUGACACUAAUCCAUUCUUUCUAUAUUUCUUUCAUUCUCUUUGAUUGGUCAACAAAGAACUUUGACUCGGGCUCUUCCCCUCCCUCUUGGAGGAAUAUAGCCAUCCAUCAAGCCUACCCCAACAUAAACAGGAAUCACCUGAUAAGCUGAGUGAUAAAGCUAUCAAUCUAUCCUUUGACUGGCACUUUAGCAGAAAAUCAUGAAAUAAACCUGGGCCCACUAAAAGUCCUUAUUUAGGGAAUCUUACUUACUUAAGAAAAUAAUCAACUGCCACCACCACAUCAUUAAGGCCCGCACCUUCAAGCCCAGUGGAAUUCUCGUUCGGAUGCUAUUCUCGCUCAAAGAUCUCAAAAUGUCGUAUCAAAAGGAGAGCGUCAAUUCUCUUAUUUCAGCAUCAAUCUGAAAGAGUCUUAGUCCCAUAAGGCCGAAACUUGGAAUUGACUUGAUAGAUCUUCUGCUUGUCUCUCGAGAAACUUUGUAUUGGUCUCCACCUCAGCCCAGUCUAACUCUGCUGAUAGACUGUGUUUAUAUUCUUCUACGAGUAGCCUGCCCAGCAAUGGAAACGUAUGAGCGUUAGUUGGCAAUGGAAAUGGGUGCAAUAAAUCAGGUAUCUAAUCUGGCUAGAGAAAGGCUAACUUCAAAACUCAGGGCUUCUCAUUGAUAGCCAUAGUAAGAGGUUUGUCCUGUUGGUGGUUGAUUCAAAACUACUUCCUCUUGCACAACUAUAAUGGGAACUACUAUAAUGGAAUGGGAGAGGAGAAAAUACUCGAGGAGAGGAAUAUCAACUACGUAAGAAGCUUCCUCAAUAAGAGUGGCUGUGCCAAGACACCCUUGUUGGAAUUGAUCUACUGCCAAAGUGGAGUGGGAAUAUAUAAGAAAGUCGAAUGGAUCUGUGGAACUCCCCCGAAUAAAGGAAUCAAAGAGUGACUCGCCAGACUGGCGAUCAAAACAGAAAUUAUCCUCCGGUCAUCCACUUUCCAUCGAGGGAGAGUCGACUAGCUUAAAGAAAGGUGCCGGAAGAAAGAAAAAGAUCCUAGUCUCCAUUUCAGAGAGUAUAAGCACAGGAAGAAGGUAUCAGGAAUGCUGGUUCGGCGGAAUAGGGUGAUUGGUAAGGCUUCAUCCCUAAAGUUAUUCAACACGUGGCUACUAAGAAAAUUGGAUUCCUUUUUCUAAAGUUAUGCUCGUAAAGCUGCAAAACUAGUAAACUUAUCGACCUAUCAUCCGUUCUUACCUGAGCUGAGUCUUGACUUCACUAUCUGUGACUUAGCCCCACAUUCUUGUGCCAAAGAAAGACAGAAGGAAAGAAACCUAGACUUGGAAUCCCGGCGCCUUGACUUUAUAUGACAAUUCUAGAUGAACUGGGCUAGCUAACCAGACAAGAAGGAGGUCCCGGGCCUGGACCGGCACGAUUCUAGUAAUUAUACGUUCCUCAUUGGAUCUCGUGGAGUGUACUCUUCCCUUUGUUUAAGAAGAAGUUGGUUUAAAGAGUAAGAAACACUUAUAUACCAUAAAUACUCUUUCUCACAAAAAGAUCCAACUUUUCGGAGCGUAGCUUAAGGCCACACCUGUAGAGCCAUGGCCCUCAAUAAUUCUAUAUGCAAACUUAUCCUUGCGGAAUGAGCCAUUCUGGGCAUCAACGAAAGAAUCCAUAAUCAUUGACGAAGAAGACAGCUGUUCAAGUAGUAACUGAGGUGUUGCAUUGAAAUAAAGUAGCAUUGCGAGAUACGAAGAAAGAAGCUGGAAGUCUAUAUGGAAUACGCUCUUUAAGGUCGAUUAAGGCUUGUGUGAAUGUUGAACAUCUGCUACCAAUCAAUCCCAUUCCCAUUCCCAUUCGUAUAUGGUAUAUGACACCUUCUUAAUUGAAAGCAUCUCUCGUCGAAACCGCUGAAGAAUACAUAAGAUAGGCCCACUAGAUUGGCACCCCCGUGGAGUAGGCUAGAGGCUCAUUCGCGAACGUGGAAUCAAGAGGGUUUUUUAUGGAUGUGACAAAUAUAUCUCAAGCUGAGGCCGCUAAGGAAGUGCCAGCACAAUCAUGAACUGCGCCCAUCAGAGCUUCUUCUAGCAACCCAAGAACUCUGGCACGUCUGAGAACCCGUGUAUUCCGCCGUGUAUUCCGUGUUUUCUUCCUGCUUUCUGCUUUCUUGAGGAGAAAAGGGGCUCAUAGAAUUAGAUUCAAAUAGAAUAUGAGUGAAUAUCUUUCGUUGCGCACCAGUUUACGAGCAAGCAUCCUUCGUUUGGUACGGAACAGGAAAGGGAAUUCGAAGAAAUCGUAUCUUUCAUAAGCAUCGUUGGUCCGAUCUGCUCAAAAAUAGAAAUGAAAUGGUGAACUUGCCUUAGAGAAAGAGGAAUUCUUACUUCCAAUCGGAAUCGUUUUUAGGCAAUACAGGGAACCGUCCCAAAGGGGCUAAAGUAUGUGUGGGUCUCUCUCGUCGAGUAGACCUUUUCUCGCUCUCUUUUUCUUGCAAGAGUUGUACCAGCGUUGAGUGAGGGGUUGGAUCAAAUCAAGAAGCUCAGCAUUGAGGGAUCAAGUCUUGCUUGAAUCGAUUUUCUUUGACUGCCUGAGUGCAUAUCCUCACUCUGUCUCCAGCUUUUCCGAAGGAUUGCUUAUCCCAUGCUUUGAGCGCUAGUUUGGUCUAAAACAGUUUCUUCUUUUUUCAGAAACAUUGGAUUUCCUGUGACCGGGAGCUUUCUUCACUACGGGGUGGGUUUCCACAUGCUCAAUUCAUGGCUUUGGUCCAGAGCUGGCAGCCGGAAUAAGAUGAGGAUUGGGGCAUGAUCACUGCAGCCCCGCGUAAGAUAUUCAGCACAGGAAAGGAAGCUUCAUGCUUUUGGAUCCACUCAGGAUUCACUAAGGCUCGCUCUAGUCUGCCGACGAUGCGUCUGGCCCCACCGGAUGGAUUGCUCCAAUAGAGUAAGUGCCCCGAGGAACGAGAUCGGUCAGGUUCGCAUUCUGCAGACAGUCAAGAAAUCCAUGUUUCUGGCACCUUCUACCGGAGAAAUAAGAGAUUCUUGAAUCGAAAUCAAUGAAUCAGAUUUUACCUUUGGGAUGGGAAGUAGAUUGCUGGAGAAAAAACUUCUAGAGUGAAAUGAACAACUAACACCUAGGUUCUUUUACCUUACCUCCUAGGCUGCGCUGCGAAAAGCUUAGAGAAUCAAGAAUCAUCCUCUGAGACUAGUUCUGUACACGCGCUAAAGUGGCGCUUGCUUCAAACUAGGUUGCCAGAGCUGGCACUUAUCGAUAUAGAAACAAGAGCAGGGCUUGAUAUGAUACAAACACAAUCAACUUCCGCAUUCGAGGGCAGAGGUAUCGGCACUUGUGGAGUAAACCUGACUCCGUUCGUGUUAGGACAUCCAUCCUUCCACUCACAGCUAUCAAUCCGGUAUUGGAAGCUCAAAUCCUCUUCUCUUCCACUCCACAUGUCGAGAUUGCAUUGCAGUAAUAAGCUUGUCUAUGAAGAGCUAAUCUAAUUGUAUUAGUUUCUAUAAUGGAUUUCUUAUGUGGAAUACUAAUGGAUAGGGCCUCGUUGCUAAGUGCUACAAGAUCUAGUGCACUGGAACUCGUGGUUAUGGACCCGAAUCCUUUAGUAUGGAACAUUGUCUUUUCCAAGUAAAAACCCCUAGUAUAUGAAAGAAUGAAAAGGUGCUUUCGUUCUUGUGGAAUAAGAAGCCCUCGUACCUUAAUGAAAGGAAAAUAGGAAUUUUACUAUAGGAAUUCGAUAGGAAUUGAGUUGUUGUUAUGGUAAGUUAACACGGUUCGUUAUUAAACCGUGGAUUUGAUUCACCAAAUCCAUCAUUAUUGUAUACUCUUUGAUAGAUAUAGCGCAACCCAAACCCUAAUCUUUAUUUUACAAUUUUUAAAGUUCUUCCCCUUUGAUAUUUUGAAAUUAAAUACCUAAAUACUAAGAAAAUUCUCUGUUGACAGCAAUCUAUGCUUCACAGUAGUAUAUAUUUUGUAUAUCGAAGUCCUAGAUAGGAAAGUAGAGUAGGCACAGCACAGAUCCUUCACAAAAGGUGAAAUUUAUAUGAAAAAAAUGGAUUGAACUUUCCAACGGAUUCAUUCCAUAAGUAAACGAUUGAAUGGGAUUCGAUUCGCUUGGGCAACGAAAUCAAGUGCGAGCCCCCUUUUCUUUUUUAUUGAAUUAACUAAUUCAUUUCCUUUUGACUUUUGGAUUUUUGGAUAUUUUUUUUGAUUUGGCAUUAUUCAACAAGAAAAAAAAUUUCGACAAAUUCCUUUUUUUAAUUAUGUGAUAAUUAUGAGAACCAAUCCUACUACUUCGCGUCCCGGGAUUUCCACAAUUGAAGAAAAAAGCGUAGGGCAUAUUGAUCAAAUUAUUGGACCCGUGCUGGAUAUCACUUUUCCCCCGGGCAAGUUGCCUUAUAUUUAUAAUGCUUUGAUAGUCAAGAGUCGAGACACUACCGAUAAGCAAAUUAAUGUGACUUGUGAGGUACAACAAUUAUUAGGAAAUAAUCGAGUUAGAGCUGUGGCUAUGAGUGCUACAGAGGGGUUGGGUUGAUGAGAGGAAUGGAAGUGAUUGACACGGGAACUCCUCUCAGUGUUCCAGUCGGUGGAGCUACUCUCGGACGAAUUUUUAACGUUCUUGGGGAGCCUAUUGACAAUUUGGGUCAUGUGGAUACUAGUGCAACAUUUCCUAUUCAUAGAUCUGCGCCUGCCUUUAUCGAGUUAGAUACAAAAUUAUCUAUCUUUGAAACAGGUAUUAAGGUGGUCGAUCUUUUAGCUCCCUAUCGACGUGGAGGAAAAAUCGGACUGUUUGGGGGGCAGGAGUAGGUAAAACAGUACUCAUCAUGGAAUUAAUCAAUAACAUUGCUAAAGCUCAUGGAGGUGUAUCCGUAUUUGGCAGAGUAGGGGAACGGACUCGUGAAGGAAAUGAUCUUUAUAUGGAAAUGAAGGAAUCCGGAGUAAUUAAUGAAAAAAAUAUUGAGGAAUCAAAGGUAGCUCUAGUCUAUGGCCAAAUGAAUGAACCACCGGGAGCUCGUAUGAGAGUUGGUUUAACUGCCCUAACUAUGGCAGAGGCAGAAUAUUUCCGAGAUGUUAAUAAGCAAGACGUGCUUUUAUUCAUCGAUAAUAUCUUUCGUUUUGUUCAAGCAGGAUCGGAAGUAUCCGCCUUAUUAGGCAGAAUGCCCUCCGCAGUGGGUUAUCAACCUACCCUUAGUACAGAAAUGGGUUCUUUGCAAGAAAGAAUUACUUCUACCAAAAAGGGAUCUAUAACUUCGAUCCAAGCAGUUUAUGUACCUGCAGACGAUUUGACCGACCCUGCUCCUGCCACAACAUUUGCACAUUUGGAUGCUACUACCGUACUUUCCAGAGGAUUAGCUUCCAAGGGUAUUUAUCCCGCAGUAGAUCCUUUAGAUUAAACCUCAACUAUGUUACAACCUCGAAUUGUUGGCAACGGACAUUAUGAAACUGCGCUAAGAGUUAAGGAAACUUUACAACGUUACAAAGAACUUCAGGACAUUAUCGCAGUUCUUGGAUUGGAUGAAUUAUCAGAGGAGGAUCGUUUAAUUGUAGCAAGAGCACGAAAAAUCGAGCGGUUCUUAUCACAACCGUUCUUUGUGGCAGAAGUUUUUACCGGUUCUCCAGGAAAGUAUGUUGGUCUUGCAGAAACAAUUAGGGGAUUUCAACUAAUCCUUUCCGGAGAAUUAGACGGCCUACCCGAACAGGCUUUUUAUUUAGUGGGGAACAUCGAUGAAGCUAGCACGAAAGCUAUAAACUUAGAAGAGGAGAGCAAAUUGAAGAAAUGAAAUCUUUAUGUACUGACUCCUAAACUAAACUAAUUAUUUUGGAUUGUGAAGUGAAAGAAAUCAUUUUAUCUACUAAUAGUGGCCAAAUUGGUGUAUUACCAAACCACGCCCCCAUUAACACAGCUGUAG
rnacentral:lncRNA from 1 species